GUUGUAUGGUUAAGUAAUUAAGCGUAGACGGUGGAUGCCUUGGCAGUCAGAGGCGAUGAAGGACGUACUAACCUGCGAAAAGCGAUGGUGAGCUGGUAAGAAGCAUUUGAGCCAUCGAUGUCCGAAUGGGGAAACCCACCUGCAUAAGCAGGUAUCUUAGCGUGAAUCCAUAGCGCUAAGAGGCGAACUCGGGGAACUGAAACAUCUAAGUACCCGAAGGAAAAGAAAUCAAUUGAGAUUCCGGCAGUAGCGGCGAGCGACCCCGGASCAGCCCUUAAGCGGCUUAGGCGUUAGGUGAACAGGUUGGAAAACCUGGCAAUAAAGGGUGAUAGCCCCGUAACCGACGGCGCCUUAGGCGUGAAAACGAGUAAGACGGGACACGUGAUAUCUUGUCUGAAGAUGGGGGGACCAUCCUCCAAGGCUAAAUACUCCUGACUGACCGAUAGUGAACCAGUACCGUGAGGGAAAGGCGAAAAGAACCCCUGUGAGGGGAGUGAAAUAGAACCUGAAACCGUCUACGUACAAGCAGUGGGAGCCUCUUUUAUGGGGUGACCGCGUACCUUUUGUAUAAUGGGUCAGCGACUUAAUGUAAGUAGC
rnacentral:rRNA from 1 species